AUUUUCUGCCACCGAAUACAUUAGCAUGGGAUAAUGGAAUAGGACCCUGUCCUCCUAUUUUCAGUUGGUUUUGGCAGCGCGAGGACUAGGGUAAUGAUUAAUAGGGAUAGUUGGGGGCAUUAAUAUUUAAUUGUCAGAGGUGAAAUUCUUGGAUUUAUGAAAGAUUAACUUCUGCGAAAGCAUCUGCCAAGGAUGUUUUCAUUAAUCAAGAACGAAAGUUAGGGGAUCGAAGACGAUCAGAUACCGUCGUAGUCUUAACCAUAAACGAUGCCGACCAGCGAUUAGGAGACGUUGAAUACAAAACACCACCAUCGGCGCGGUCGUCCUUGGCGUUCGUGUUCACGCACGGGCGCGAGGGCGGCUUAGCCCGGUGGCACCGGUGAAUGACUCCCCUAGC
rnacentral:rRNA from 1 species